rnacentral:rRNA from 1 species
AUGUUGGACUGUCAGACAAGUAGUAAGGGGAGGAAUGGAGCUCCUAGACAUCCUGAGUGUCCAAAUGAGUCGAGAGUUGUUGUAGAUACUAUAGCUCGUGAAUCCAUUUCAGGACUAACUUCUUCCUCAAGUGUAGAUGAAGAUACAUGUGGCUUUAAUUGGCUGAAGCUAUGGUCGCUUCCCCUUCCAAGCAAGGUAAAGCGAGAAGGGAGAAUGCAUGAACGUCAGCAGAAGGAAAGAUGGUCCAGACCUCCACCAAAAAUCCUGAAAAUCAACAUUGAUGGUGCCUUCCUGAAGGAAUCAAAUUCUCGAGGUUGGGGCUUUGUUAUCAGGAAUAAUUUUGGUAUGGUAAUAGCAGCUGGAGCAGGGAAUUUGGAGCAAGUCUCGGAUGCCCUUCAUUCGGAGGCGUUGGCAAUGUUGCAUGCUGUUAACACAACCAUCCAGAUGGGUUGCCAACGAGUGAUUGUGGAAACCGACUAUGUGCAACUGAGGAUAGCGGUGAGCAAUGGAGACUAUGAUCUUUCUACAUUAGGAGCUAUCUUCAAAGAUAUUAAGCUUUAA